rnacentral:rRNA from 1 species
AGAGUUUGAUCCUGGCUCAGGAUGAACGCUAGCGGCAGGCUUAAUACAUGCAAGUCGUGGGGCAGCAGCUCUGUAGCAAUACAGAGGCUGGCGACCGGCAAACGGGUGCGGAACACGUACGCAAUCUACCCAAAACUGGUGAAUAGCCCUCCGAAAGGAGGAUUAAUACACCGUAACCUAUUGAAGUGGCAUCACUUUAUUAGUAUAGCUCCGGCGGUUUUGGAUGAGCGUGCGGCUGAUUAGAUAGUUGGCGGGGUAACGGCCCACCAAGUCUGCGAUCAGUAACUGGUGUGAGAGCACGACCAGUCACACGGGCACUGAGACACGGGCCCGACUCCUACGGGAGGCAGCAGUAAGGAAUAUUGGUCAAUGGACGCAAGUCUGAACCAGCCAUGCCGCGUGAAGGAUGAAGGUCCUCUGGAUUGUAAAUUUCUUUUAUAGGGGACGAAACCUCUUUUUCUAAAGAGACUGACGGUACCCUAGGAAUAAGCACCGGCUAACUCCGUGCCAGCAGCCGCGGUAAUACGGAGGGUGCAAGCGUUAUCCGGAUUCACUGGGUUUAAAGGGUGCGUAGGAGGGCAGGUAAGUCAGUGGUGAAAUCUCCAAGCUUAACUUGGAAACUGCCGUUGAUACUAUCUGUCUUGAAUACCGUGGAGGUGAGCGGAAUAUGUCAUGUAGCGGUGAAAUGCUUAGAUAUGACAUGGAACACCAAUUGCGAAGGCAGCUCACUACACGAAUAUUGACUCUGAGGCACGAAAGCGUGGGGAUCAAACAGGAUUAGAUACCCUGGUAGUCCACGCCCUAAACUAUGGAUACUCGACAUACGCGAUAAACUGUGUGUGUCUGAGCGAAAGCAUUAAGUAUCCC